AAGAAAAUGUAUUGCUUGUGGGCCCCACGCGUGCACUGUUCAUUUAGAAAAACCCUCAACUCUUGAGGGUUUUUUUUUUCCCUCACGGUUGAGGGUUUUUUCCCUCACUGCCGUGGUGCUCGGUUUUUUUUUUACACCCUUAUUUUUACUCGUGAGGGUUUUUUUCCUCACUGCUGGUAGUGCUCUUAGAGGCGUGAUGGACCACUACCCGGUACGGAGACGUGUGUAAAAUUGAAUCCGUUAAUUUGUCAUAAAAGUUGCCACAGUAACUCAAAGCUGUUACUGACUGUAAAAUUGAAUCUCUCUCCUCUCUUUAGAAGUCACUGCUGUAAAAAAGGCAUCUCCUUUUUCUCUCUCUAAAGAAAUACGACGAUAAAUUGAAAAGGCUGCUACCAGUAGAAGUAAAUGGGAGAACAUCCCUUACUACCCACUCGGGGCAUGACUGAAUUGGCCUCGUAAAGUAACCCAGUUCACCAUAUCUUGGCUCAUAGCCAAUACCUCCAAUCCACUGGGCAUUUGAAGACCAACAAAUUGCUUCCUGUGUGCAUGAUGUUAAAACAAAGUAUUCGUUAAACAACGUUCCUUAUUGAAAACUUACCAACUUACCAUGAGCAUCAGAGAAAACGAUGAUGACAAAGUCGGAAAUCAAUGAGUUGCUGCCAUGUCAGAGGUGUUCGGACUUUUACUGAUCUGAACUGGAAUAUGGAUUGGUACCAACGGUUCAGGAAGUGAGUUUGAUGGUGGUCGUUCUGCUUCUCAGAAUUUUGCUGGUGGUGAGGAAAGUGUUAGUGUUACUCUCCCUUGAUUAUAGCUCUGUUAGUUGUUUUUUUGGGGCAUGUUUAGAGAGUGUUUUUAUCUUUUCUGCUUAUUUGUGUAUGAUUUUGAGAAUUUUAUGAUGUUUGUGUCAUAUGUUAAUGCUUGAUUAAGGUAUGAGCUAUUUUGGGAUGAUUAUCCACCUUUUGGGCAAAUUGAAGAGCAAGUGAGCGAUUUGCUUAUCCUGAAUUGCCUAUUAAAUUGUUGGGUUGUGGGGUUGUUUCUGGUGCUGAUUGCAUUGGGCAACUGUUCUCAUUUAUCCUUUGUCUUCUUCUCGCUCAUACCUUGCCAAAGUUGGGGCAUCUGAAUUAUUGUAUGCUUUGCCUUUUCCCCUUUUUUUAGGUAGAGUGUUGCUUUAGUACAUGUAUCAAAGUGUUUUAAAACAUCAUUUUUAUGUUGGUUUGUAUGUAUUUGGGAGGGAUGUCUAUGUGUAAAGAUUUGUCUAUGUCCAAGUAUCAGCUUUUUAACUACAAUGCAUCAUAGCAUUGGUCCAAAGCAAGUGUUAAUUGUCCACAACUUCUUGUUAUUGUCUGAAUAUUUAGUCAAAUGCUAUUAAGAGUCACAAGCUGCAUGUAGCUACUCUUGUCAACUCCUGUUUGAAAAGUGAAAAAAAAAAAAAAAAAAACUGCAUUAAACCUCACUCAUUCUUAUCUUCACAGGUCUCACCCCCUCAUAUUUACAGUCAAUUGCUGAACUGUCAUCUUUUUCCAUACUCUACCACCAAUAUAAAUGCAUAAUUCUCUAUUUCUUGUAAUUUUGCAGGUUGUAAAUGUAUUUUUGUUUUUAAUUUGUUAUGGUGGAUUGAAUUGAUUUUUUGCUGUUGCCCUCUUCAGGUCCAACUAUAGUCAAUGUUGGUAUUACCGGGCUCCUGGGAAUCAAGGGUUUUUCUUGGGUAUAACUCCAAAGAAGGAUAAAAAUCAAGACAAGAGUAGAGAUGUAAAGAAACCAGUUAUCAAACUACCAUUUCCUAACAGACAUCUUAAGAGUAAGCUAGAUAAGCAGUUCGGUAAGUUUCAGGAGGUUGUCAAGAAUCUGCAGGUAACGGUUCCUUUCACAGAAUUAAUUACUUAAGUUCCUGCAUAUUCUAAAUUUAUGAAAGAAAUCUUGACCAGAAAGAGAUAUAUUAGUGAGGUAGAGACAAUUGCUUUUACUGAAGAAUGUAGUGCUAUAUUAUAGAAUAAAUCUCCACCUAAGCUAAAAGAUCCGGGUAGUUUUUCUAUUCCUUGUCAUAUUGGUAAUCUGAUGAUCGAUAAAGCUUUAUGUGAUUUGGGUGCUAGUGUAUAUGUUAUGCCAUUAUCUGUGAGCUCUAAAUUGAAUAUGGGUAAUUUAAAAGCUAUCAAUAUUACUCUGCAAAUGGCUGAUUGUUCUCUUAAAUAUCCUUUAGGUGUUUUAGAAGAUGUUCUUGUUAGAGUAGGUAAAUUUUAUAUACCUGUUGAUUUUUUUGUCCUUGGUAUGGAGGAAGAUUUGCAAAUUCCGAUUAUUUUGGGUAGACCAUUUCUUCAUACUGCAGGGGCAAUAAUAGAUGUGAAGAGUGGUAAACUUACAUUAUGUGUAGGGGAUGAAAAAAUUAUUUUUAAUCUACAUGAUGCCCCUAAAAGCCCUAUGUUGGAAGAAAAGUGCUAUAGCAUUGAUGUGGUGGAUGUAAAUAAUUUUUCUAAUAAGCGCCAAGCUCUCGUUAGAGAUCCCUUGGAGGCGGUAUUUUGUGUCACAUCUUCCACAGGAAAAACCACUACAUGGAAGGAUGAAGUGGAUGCUAUAGAAAGGGCUCUAAAUUGUGUAGGGCUUGGGUUUGAAGAUGAACAAGUGGAGAAAAAGGAGCAACUUAAAGAAAAUCAAACUCCAAGUACUGUAGCGCGCCCGACCGGGCGAGAACCCGCCCGUCCGGGCGCGGGAGGAAGUCCGUAUACGGAGUCUUGUGUUCAAACCUAGUUAAAGAUACAAUUUUUUUAAAAAAAAAAAAAAAAAUGGUUCCAGAGAGAAAUUGUUUCCUUGUUGCUUUAUUCAGUUAAUGGCUUAUCAGUGCAAGUUGACAACGUACCAAUGAAUUAAUGACACAAUAAUCUAAUUCAAAAUUAAAGAAGAAAGUUAGUUGACUACAAGUCUUGAAGUCUACAACUGUCUAAAAAAAAAAGUUAGCUGACUAUAGUUCAACAUAUACGUAGUAAUAUACAACGGAGUACGUAUUUGAUGUUUUUUUUUUAAAAAUCGCAAUGUGAGAAAUGGAUGAUUUUUAAGAGGUGAAAGAUUCAAGAAAUAGUUAAAAAAUAAAAUGGACUUAAUAAAAAGGAAAAUUGUUCCAUGUACCAUUGAGGUUUUAAAAAAUACACCGUAUAUCCCUAAAAACUUCUAAAUGCACCAUGUAUUCUUGAGGUUUGUAAAAACUCGCACCAAAUACCCUUAGACUCACAGUAUAUGUUGAUUUUUGUAAACUUGAGACCCUCUAAGCAUCAAAUUAAAUUCUAUUAAACUAUUAUAGUUUAAUGCUACUAUAACGCUAAACCAUUUAAUUGUAAAGUGAACUUAAUUAAUAAAGCAAAUUCUAACACCCAAAUGUUUAGGAUUUAGAAUGAUCGACGGAGUUUAAAAUUUGAUAUAAUUUAUGCUUUUAGGUGGUUUUACUGCAUAAAUAAUAUAAAGUACUAAAAGUGAGUCAGUUGUGGGCAUGAUAUUAGUUUGAUAAGUCAAUGAUAUGUGCAUUUGUUAGAGGAUUAGGGUAUUUGGUGCAUUUAUUUACAAAUCUCAGGGUACAUGAUGCAUUUGAAAGUUAUUAAGGAUACACAAUGCGUUUUUUUAAACCUAGAUUGGGUCUAGACUUAGGUCUGGGUUUGGAUUUAGGUCUGGGUCUGGACUCAGACUUGGGUCUGGUUUAGAGUCAGGCUCUAGGUUCGGGUCUACGCCUGACUCAGGCUUAGGUCCGGGUUUAGACUUGGGUCUGGGUUAGGGUCUAGGCCUGAUGCUGCCGACUAGAAGGCGCGCAGGUAUUAGACUUCUCGACCCAUCUUGCUUCUUGUGGUUUUGAAAUAAGUAUGUUUAAUACAAGUAAUAAUUUUUUUAAUACUCUGACAAAGUCUUGUAUUGGAUGUCACAAUUGUUGUGAGAGUGGAGUGACUUAAUGAGUCAUACUUAUCUGUUUUUUUACCUUAUUAUUAAACAAAUCGAAUUCAAUCUGUUUUAAUUUGUUGAACUCGAUACUCUUGUUCGUUCAAUUGCUAUGCUAAAAGGCAAAUAGUUAUACUAUCUAAAGUGUUGAUGCAGAAACCCCUGUGUUCAUAUUAGCAAUCCUAGGAGACAGCCUCUUUGUAAUUUUUGUACUGAAAUACUACUAGUGCAAAAUGCAAUAUAUUAAAGAUAGAUGAUUGAAGUCUUUAUUUUUAUUUUUUUUUAAAGAAAAGGAAAUAUAUUAAAACUUAAUAAACCACAAAGAGUUUGAGAGAUGCUACCAUAGUAACUCCAACAACCAAGCCAAAAUAGCGUUUAAUCAAAGCCAUAAAACAAAUCCAAACCAAAAUACAUAGAAGAGACAAACUAAGAUCAAGUUUUUCCUUCCACCAAACGAGAAUACUAGUUGAUGCUGUCCAGAAUAUCAUUCUCAUAAGCUUCCUUUGCGCAAUUAGGAAUUGUGUCAUGCCCCACAAUAUCCCCAUCCAAACGCAAUGCCAUUCUUGCUAAUUGGUGAGCCACUUCAUUAGCCUCUCUAUGAACAUAGCUGAAUUCGAACUUGCAAGCCCCUUUGAGCACCUCUCCAAUGUCCCUUAGGAUGGCAGCGAGUUCAUGAGUUCCGCAUUUCCCCAAGUCUUCCAGAGUGAGCAUUUGUUUCGAUCGUCACCUUCUUGUAAUGAGCAUUGAUUGCCAUUAUCAUACCCCCUUUGAUUGCUAAGAGUUCGGCUUCAUCCCCGCGAUUUCUAGCUUUAAUCUUCCAUGAGCUUCCUCCUAGCCAAUUGCCAUCACUUGCUCUCAUAACAGCUCCUGCUCCUGCAAUUUCAUUGCUCUUAGCUUCCAUGCUCCGUCCACAUUUAGUUUAGCAGAGCCUCAGGCUGGGCAAUUCCCAUUUGGUGUCCUCUCUACACCUGGCUACUUCCUUUCCUUUGCCCUGAAAGACAGCAAUAGUAGCCACAAGAUCGACCAUAUACCCGUUAAACAAGGUGAUACGGUGCACAAUGGCAAGCUGAAAAACAGCUUGGUUUCUAAUUCUCCAUAUAUGCCAAAUAGCUACUGCAUACAUUGUUUUCUAGAUUAUAGUGAAUCCAAUCGAUCCAAUUGGUAUUAUAAAAAGAGUGAUAAUUAAAGCCUUUGUCUAGCUUAUUUCCUUUCAAAAUUCUAGACCACAAGAUCUUGGAGUUCACACAGUCCCUAAAUAGGUGAAGAUGGGUUUCACUAUCAAGCUCACAUCGAGUACAAAUGGGAUUGAAAUGGGGAAUAUUAACCCGAAGCAAUGAGGCAGUAGGAAGAAUUUGGUGACAGGCAUUCCAAUUUCCAAAGCAACAUUUUAUAUUUAUAGGGGUAGCUAAUAUGCCAUAAUUUACUCCAAUUUUAAGGAGGGAAAUAAGGGUGGGGAGAAAAUUGGGAAAAUAAUAUGUAUGCACUUUUGAUGGUGAGCUGACCGUUGGUUUCUAACCCCUAACAAAUUGAGUCUUCAGCUUCUGCAAUCGAAGGGAGAGGGAUGCUUUCAAUGAGGUUACAAAUAUGCUCCGGAAUGAUGUGUUUAACUCUCCUAAGAUCCCACCUACCCGGAAUAGGUUUGUCAAUAAUCUGAUAAAGUGGUUUGACUGGUUUCUCUCCUACACAAUGAUGGUACCAAAGACAAAUGUCCUCCCCAUAACCCACUCUAUAUGAGAUUCCUUUUAAAAGAAGCUCCUUGCCUUUAAGGAUGUCUUUCCAAAGAGACGAAUCAGAAGGGUUAGGAAUUGAAGGCACUACAGGCCUUGAGUGGGAUCCAGUGGAGGAUGAUUCUGAUACUGAAAUCACACUGCCAAAAAGGAUGGCUGAAGAGAAGAAGGAGACAGACGAGAGCACUGUCAAACAAGGGCAACUCAGAAGGCACCAUCACCAUUGUCUGAGUCUUUGUCUGCUAGAGCUGCGUAUGCCUUUAUGCGAGGGCCUACUGUCGAUAGAGUUGAUGAAUGGAAGCGCAGGUGUUUAUUAUUAUAUUUCCACAUGUGCAGCCCGUUUUGUGGUGAUUCAUAUGAACAGCAGUCCGUUACAUGGAAAAAUAUUUUUGUAUUUCUUCCCCUUCUAAAUUUCUUGCUCCCUUUGCAUGAUCUUUGUUUAAUUCUCUCUCUUAGAUUUUUCAAUUUACUUUCUCUUUGUAAAUUUUUGGGUGCUCUCUUUACUUGGUGGUCUUUUGUUUUAGGUGAAACUUGACUGACUUAGUUCACCCAAUCAACAGAGGUUUUUUUUUUUUUUUUUUUUUUUAAAAAAACCUAUCAACAGAGGUUAGUAUAGAGGUUUGAGUAGAUUAAGUAAUAAUUUUUUUUUUUCGUGAACUAUUAUAGUUGUGCAAAAUGUAUAUUUAAUUUUCUAAAUUAGGGUUUACUAUGUGUCGAAAAAUGCGGCUUAAUGUUCGGAAUUAGGGUUUAUUAGAUUGUAAUGGUAGAUGCAUGGGUGCAAAAUUGGGAUUGAUGGUUUGCAGAUUUUGAUAAGGAUUCACUCUUCGAUCCUAAUUUUACAUGUUAAUUAUUUAUUAUUCAUUAAAUUUAAAAUUGAAGUUGAAUGUGUUAAGAAGUUAGAAUUUUCUAGAAUCUUGAAAGCAUGUCAAUAAUGGAAUAAUUUUUCUACCAGUGGCGUUUAAAUUAUAGGCAUUUUGGAAAGUUCUACAUGUUUUAUGCAUUUCAAUGGACCUUAUGGUAUAGUACUAUCGAUUAUAUAUUUGUUCUGUAAUUGUUAUCUUUUACACUAUUUGUAAGAUGUGGAGUUUUUUAUAGGCCAGCUUAAUUUAAUCUAUGACCUCUUUUUAGAUUUGGUUUUAUACAACAUUUAACCAUGAGUUUGGUCUCUAUAGUCAUUGUUUGUCGUGGCUUUGCUUCGUUGACCUAAAUUAUUGAAGUGAAAAGAUUAUGUCUUUUUUAUUCAAUUAGAACUUCAACUGGCUGACAGGCUGCAUUCUUUUUAAUUGAAGAUCAUUAUGGUACAAUGAAUUUCUUAUC